ACGGAGGCAUUGUUACGGUUAUAGCAUAUUAUAUCAUAGGAAUACCGCUGCUGAUAGUGUUUGUAUUGUAUACAUCUUUACAGAUAGCAGGUGUAUGGUUGGCUUUCUGUACAGCUAUAGUAGUCAUAUUUAUAUUGUUUGCUGCGAAGACAUUGUCACUUAGUUGGAAAAAUGAAUGUAAAAAGGCUCAAGAACUGACAGCAGUUAACGUAAAAGACCCAACUUAUUAUGGAGAUGAUCACAGCACAUCAUGUAGUUAUACAGAAGCCAAACCAAGUGAUAGCGAUUUUCGUCAGUUGUCUGAACAAAAAAUAGGAGAGCAAUCGAUACCAUUGUAUAAAAUGAUUAUAUGUCAACGGUUCUUAAUAUCUGUUUCAUUAUUACUGAUUCUAUUUGGAAGCAUUGUUCUGAAUAUGUUCUUGGAUCAAACAUAUAGAGAUAACGUACAAUGUAACGGAAAUGAUACAAUGUAUAAUCUGACUCAAUGUGUAAAUGUUUCUUGACAGGGUAUUGUUUGAAAACCUUAACCAUCACCAUGGCAUAUGCAUAUUAAGAUUUGACUUAACUUAUGAAUAAUACAUUUGA